GACGAACGCUGGCGGCGUGCUUAACACAUGCAAGUCGAACGGAAAGGCCCUGCUUUUGUGGGGUGCUCGAGUGGCGAACGGGUGAGUAACACGUGAGUAACCUGCCCUUGACUUUGGGAUAACUUCAGGAAACUGGGGCUAAUACCGGAUAGGAGCUCCUGCUGCAUGGUGGGGGUUGGAAAGUUUCGGCGGUUGGGGAUGGACUCGCGGCUUAUCAGCUUGUUGGUGGGGUAGUGGCUUACCAAGGCUUUGACGGGUAGCCGGCCUGAGAGGGUGACCGGCCACAUUGGGACUGAGAUACGGCCCAGACUCCUACGGGAGGCAGCAGUGGGGAAUAUUGCACAAUGGGCGGAAGCCUGAUGCAGCAACGCCGCGUGCGGGAUGACGGCCUUCGGGUUGUAAACCGCUUUCGCCUGUGACGAAGCGUGAGUGACGGUAAUGGGUAAAGAAGCACCGGCUAACUACGUGCCAGCAGCUGCGGUGAUACGUAGGGUGCGAGCGUUGUCCGGAUUUAUUGGGCGUAAAGGGCUCGUAGGUGGUUGAUCGCGUCGGAAGUGUAAUCUUGGGGCUUAACCCUGAGCGUGCUUUCGAUACGGGUUGACUUGAGGAAGGUAGGGGAGAAUGGAAUUCCUGGUGGAGCGGUGGAAUGCGCAGAUAUCAGGAGGAACACCAGUGGCGAAGGCGGUUCUCUGGGCCUUUCCUGACGCUGAGGAGCGAAAGCGUGGGGAGCGAACAGGCUUAGAUACCCUGGUAGUCCACGCUGUAAACGGUGGGUACUAGGUGUGGGGUCCAUUCCACGGGUUCCGUGCCGUAGCUAACGCUUUAAGUACCCCGCCUGGGGAGUACGGCCGCAAGGCUAAAACUCAAAGGAAUUGACGGGGCCCCGCACAAGCGGCGGAGCAUGCGGAUUAAUUCGAUGCAACGCGUAGAACCUUACCUGGGUUUGACAUGGAUCGGGAGUGCUCAGAGAUGGGUGUGCCUCUUUUGGGGUCGGUUCACAGGUGGUGCAUGGCUGUCGUCAGCUCGUGUCGUGAGAUGUUGGGUUAAGUCCCGCAACGAGCGCAACACUUGUUCACUGUUGCCAGCACGUUAUGGUGGGGACUCAGUGGAGACCGCCGGGGUCAACUCGGAGGAAGGUGGGGAUGACGUCAAGUCAUCAUGCCCCUUAUGUCCAGGGCUUCACGCAUGCUACAAUGGCUGGUACAGAGAGUGGCGAGCCUGUGAGGGUGAGCGAAUCUCGGAAAGCCGGUCUCAGUUCGGAUUGGGGUCUGCAACUCGACCUCAUGAAGUCGGAGUCGCUAGUAAUCGCAGAUCAGCAACGCUGCGGUGAAUACGUUCCCGGGGCUUGUACACACCGCCCGUCAAGUCAUGAAAGUUGGUAACACCCGAAGCCGGUGGCCUAACCGUUGUGGGGGGGCCGUCGAAGGUGGGACUGGUGAUUAGGACU
rnacentral:rRNA from 1 species